AUUCUUGUUCAUAUAUUGAUAAAUAUCAUUAAUUAAGGACAAAAAUGGUGGAUCAUAAUCAAUCUUAAAUUGUAGAAAGAUAUAUAUAAUAUAGAUCAAUAAUUAAAGAAGUUUUAAAAAUCAAGAAAUGAUGAUUCAAUGCUAACGUUCUAUAUAGCUACUUCAUGAUUUUACUACUUUAUCUAUUAAAAUAUUUAUUGGUGAUAAAAUAAUUAAAUAGUGCUCUUAUGUAAGUUAUUUUAUAAUUUUAAUUAUAAUAUUUAAACUAUUAUUAACUAUUAACUAUUUACUCAUUUUGCAUGAUUUUUCAGCUACUUAUAACAAUAUUAUAUAUGGAAAAUUU